UACAGAGGUCUCAAGCGUUGUUCGGAUUCAUUGGGCGUAAAGGGUGCGUAGGUGGCGCCGUAAGUCAGGUGUGAAAUUUCGGAGCUUAACUCCGAAACUGCAUUUGAUACUGCGGUGCUUGAGGACUGGAGAGGAGACUGGAAUUUACGGUGUAGCAGUGAAAUGCGCAGAUAUCAGGAGGAACACCGGUGGCGAAGGCGGGUCUCUGGGCCGAUACUGACGCUGAGGAGCGAAAGCGUGGGGAGCGAACAGG
rnacentral:rRNA from 1 species